GAUGAACGCUGGCGGCGUGCUUAACACAUGCAAGUCGAACGAUGAAGCCCAGCUUGCUGGGUGGUUUAGUGGCGAACGGGUGAGUAACACGUGAGUAAACUGCCCUUUACUUUGUGGUAAGCGUGGGCAACUGGGACCAUAACCGGAUAGGGCCGUCCACCUCCUGGUGGGAGCUGGAGAGCUUUAUCGGUUUUGGGUGUACUUGCGGCGUAUCAGCUUGUUGGGGAGGGCAUGGCUCACGAAGGCCACGACGGGUAUCCGGCCGGGGAGGGUGACCGGCCACACUGGGACUGAGACAGGGCCCAGUGUCCUACGGGGGGCAGCAGUGGGAAAUAUUGCACAAUGGGCGCAAGCCGGAUGCAGCGACGCCGGGUGAGGAAUGACGGCCUUCGGGUUGUGAACCUCUGUCAGUAAGGAAGAAGCGAAAGUGACGGUACCUGCAGAAGAAGCACCGGCUAACUACGUG
rnacentral:rRNA from 1 species